UAUUGUCCUAGGCCACUGAGUCUCUUCUCU
rnacentral:piRNA from 1 species